AUAUGCCCAGUUAGAGGCGGGCCACUGCACUGAACGUAAAAUGCGCUCUUGUUUUGAGUUGAAGUUGAAGAAGGCGCGAAGAAGACGUUGAUGAACCUACAGGUGAAUACAUUCUCCAGUCUAUCAGAAAGCAGCACGUCUCUGGCGCCACGUUGUGAAAUAUAGUCACCCUCAACAUCACAUACACAUCAGGGUGUGUCCAGGGCUGAGGUUCUUGCAGGCCAUCCACAGGGGGAUAGUGGUGUGGGAGCCUCUUAUAGCCAGCCGGGACCUAUUGAAUCAGGUGAAGAUUCUUGUGAUGAGGGCCCUUCACCAUCACACAUGUAGCAUAGUAUGUAUGCUUUACCUUUUUUUAAAUUAACAUCACAGUAUCUGCU